GAUUGGACAGCUCACCGCCCGCCAUUUGUCAGCUGUCAAACAUAAAUACAUCGAUAAAUUGCUUCAUAACUCCACUAAACACGACCAAAUGCAUUAAUUAAGGAUAGAGGAAGAUAAUAGAAACCCUAUGGCACCUGUGGAGAGGCGGAAAGCAGCUGUAAAUAAGAGAAACAGAAGAAAAUAGUGUUUAUAAAUGAGUGUGUCUCCCUCCCGGCGUUCCUCAAGGCUGAGUGACUGACAGGAAUGAGACGAAAGAAAGAAGAAAAGGAAGAAGAGGAAGAA